GUGUACCACGCGUACACCUCCGGUUCCUCCGCGCCGUCAGCACCCACCUGACGAUCGCUCGCCACGUUCUGCUAGCC
rnacentral:sRNA from 1 species